rnacentral:rRNA from 1 species
AUUGAACGCUGGCGGCAGGCUUAACACAUGCAAGUCGAGCGGAGCAAGGGUGCUUGCACCUUAGCUUAGCGGCGGACGGGUGAGUAAUGCUUAGGAAUCUGCCUAUUAGUGGGGGACAACAUUCCGAAAGGGAUGCUAAUACCGCAUACGCCCUACGGGGGAAAGCAGGGGAUCUUCGGACCUUGCGCUAAUAGAUGAGCCUAAGUCGGAUUAGCUAGUUGGUGGGGUAAAGGCCUACCAAGGCGACGAUCUGUAGCGGGUCUGAGAGGAUGAUCCGCCACACCGGGACUGAGACACGGCCCAGACUCCGACGGGAGGCAGCAGUGGGGAAUAUUGGACAAUGGGCGGAAGCCUGAUCCAGCCAUGCCGCGUGUGUGAAGAAGGCCUUUUGGUUGUAAAGCACUUUAAGCGAGGAGGAGGCUACUAGUAUUAAUACUACUGGAUAGUGGACGUUACUCGCAGAAUAAGCACCGGCUAACUCUGUGCCAGCCGCCGCCGUAA